rnacentral:lncRNA from 1 species
CCUGCCUUGGAGCCAGCUGACAAUGGACUGAAACCUCUACAAACUUCAUAUAAAGAUACAAGAAGAAGAUGGCUGUCUGCAAAUCAGGAAGACUGACCUCACCAGACAUUGGAUCUGCUGGUUGUACCUGGAUCUUGAACUUCCCAACCUUCAUAUAAUGUAAUGUUGGAGAGGUCCUUGGCCGGCUGGACCCCACUUUGGCCGACUCGUCACACCCACCUGCAACCAGCGAGAUGGUGAGGACCACUCAGCAAGCCCACCAGCCACCAGCUUAGUGCUUGGGCUCCUGGAAACCACCCCCCACCCCUGGCCUCCUGGUUGUGUCGCUACCUGGUUCCACACUACAGAGGCACAGGGGGCAUAAGGGCCAUUGUCCUGAGCUGCAGAAGUGAACAACAGAUAGAGGGCCUCUCUCAGGCUCCUUCAUGAAAACUAAAGCUGACUGUAAAAGUGAAGAGAAUCUUGGAAAUAAAGGCACACCAGACCACCGUACUUGAAUUUGUACAUCUCUAGAACAAUACUUAACAGAACUCAGACUUUCAGCCUCCAUUCACAGCCUCUAAAAUCUCUGCUGGAAAUUUUUUUGAUGCUUUUAUCUAGUGACCUGAUCCAAACUAGACUUUCUUCCUUCAAAGAUCCAGAUUGUGCCAGUGGAGGUGAAGCUGAGGAUGCAACCCAGGGAAGAAGGUACAUAAAGGCUGAAUUUGCUCAAAGGGAAUUCAUCACCUUGGGACCACCUGAUUAGUCCUGCCAUUCUGAUGAUCAUACUGACAACCUGAU